UACGUAGGGUGCGAGCGUUAAUCGGAAUUACUGGGCGUAAAGCGUGCGUAGGCGGUUCGCUGAGUCCGAUGUGAAAGCCCCGGGCUUAACCUGGGAAUGGCAUUGGAAACUGGCGGGCUUGAGUGCGGCAGAGGGGGGUGGAAUUCCGCGUGUAGCAGUGAAAUGCGUAGAGAUGCGGAGGAACACCGAUGGCGAAGGCAGCCCCCUGGGUCGACACUGACGCUCAGGCACGAAAGCGUGGGGAGCAAACAGG
rnacentral:rRNA from 1 species